CAUCUAGGUUGGCUCCACGGUUUAGCUAUUGUGAAUUGUGCUGCUAUAACAUUGAUGUGGCUGUGUCCCUGUAGUAUGCUGUUUUUAAGUCCUUUGGGUAUAUUUCGAGGAGAGGGAUUGCUGGGUCAAAUGGUGGUUCCAUUCCCAGAUUUCCAAGAAAUUUCCAUAAUGCUUUCCAUAUUGACUGCACCAAUUUGCAGUCCCACCCACAAGCAUACAUUAAAUCUCUAUGAGACUGUUGUGGUAAGCCUACUCUAUUAAAUGGCCACUAAUUAGUAAUGCUCAGCUUAAAAAAAAAAAGAAAGAUGAUUUCUAAGUUCACAUAACCCCAUAGACUUAUUUUUAAUUCAGUUGCUAGCUCUUUUGACUAAAAGCACUUCAUUUUUCUACCCUCUUUCUCACAUUCAAUUGACUUUAAUCUUCACAUGCACCGACAAACUCAUUGACCAAGAGGUAUUUAUUUUUGUUGGUGUUGUGUUAAAGUACUGUACCUGAGUGUGUUAGUCAUCUCACUGUUACUGUAACUAAUACCUGAGACAACCAGCUUUUAAAGAUGAAAGUUUAUUUUGGUGGUUCCAGUCCUUGAUGAGGUAUACACAUUGCUUUUAAGGCUCUGGUGGGGUUGCUGAAUAGCAAUGGUAGGGAGAAAGUUGACAAUCUACCAAACUGUGCUAUGUUCAUGUAUGAAUAUACUACAAUGAAUCAUUCACACACACACACACACACACACACACAAACUAUUACAAUGCACUAACUAAAACAAUAAUAGAAGGGAUAUGGUAGAGCAGAGCAAGCAGAUUGGGGGAGGGAGCAAGAGUGGG
rnacentral:lncRNA from 1 species